UGGAAGUGUGUUAUUUUGAGUAGUGAGAGGUGUUCUUGAAACUUAAAAUUUUUGGCGGUUUUUUAGGCCUGUUAGAGGAACCUGUUCUUUUAUGGAUAGUCCGCAGUUUUUUUAACUUUGGUUUUUGUUUGUAUAUCGCCGUCGGAAAGUGGGUUUUUUAGAAUUUAUUGGAAUGUUAGUAGGAGAGGAUGACAGGUCAAGGUGCAGCGGAUGCUGGAGGGUGAGAUGGGUUACAAUAUGGGAUUUGUAUACAGAUUUUGGUAAGAAUAUUUGCUAUAUUGAAGGUGGAUUUAAAAGUAAAGUAAGAUUAAAAUGUUUAUUUGAUAAUGGCUCUGGGGGAUGU
rnacentral:rRNA from 1 species